CCCACAAAGUCUUGUCCCUUCAUCACGGUAAUUGCACACCUGUUAAUUGCACUCAGGUGUCUUCACUUUCAUCGUCAUUAUCCUGUCUAUUUAAACCGGUCUGUUUCUCUCUGUGUCAUGGAGUCCUUAUUUUCCAUCACCUGGUUUUCUCACGUUUCGAGUUUCUUGUUCCUGUUUGUUUGUUUUUGGACUGAUUUUUGGUUAAGCCCCCUGCUUGUUUUGAUUCUGAAUUUUGGAUUACCCAAUAAACACUGCUCUUGGAUCUCUCGUCUCCUGUGUCCUGAUCCUUACAGAAGGACUCCAUCCGAUCAGAUCCAACGGUGUGGGAUUUUGUCUCCGUUCCCCAGCCAGCAUGGAGGAGCGGAGGAGAAGAUUCAUUAAAUUAACCACCCUCCGUCAAAGAGGGAAUGAGGUGGGUGGUGUGGCACAAGAGUUCUGGACCUUGGCGGUGGGGCUGGGAUAUAAUGAUGCGGCGUUGAAAUACUUUUUUAACAUCUGUUUAGACAACCUCGUGCCAGAGAGGGAAAUUAAUGAGCUGGAGGAUUUUGAUUUUUGUAGGUUCAUACUGUACCUGCAACAUCGGUCUCAGUGGGAUACACCAGCCACACCUGUCUCUCCCGUUGGGAUGGCCUACUCUAAACUGGGGUCUGCAGACAGGAGGACCGCCAGUCCAGCACCACUACACAAUAUGGCCACCAGGCCAGCGCCACAGCACAAGGUGGUCGCCAGCCCAGCACCACAGCGCAAGAUGGCCGCCAGCCCAGUGCCACAGCACAAGGUCGCCGCUAGCCCAGCGCCACGGCACAAAUUGGCCGCCUGUUCAGCGCCUCUGCACAAGAUGACAGCCUCAGGUGACCCUCCAGUGUUGAGUCAGGUUCCGGUUGAUCCUCCAGAGUUGAGUCAGGUUCCCGUUGACCCUCCAGAGUUGGGUCAGGUCACUGUAGACCCUCCAGAGUUGGAUCAGGUCAUGGUUGACACUCCAGAGUCAGGUCAAGUCACUGUUGACACUCCAGAGUCAGGUCAAGUCACCAUUUACACUCCAGAGUCUGGUCAAGUCACCAUUUACACUCAUAAGUUAAGCACUACCACAGUUAGACCUCAGGAGUCAAGUCAAGUCACCAUUGAUCUUCAUGAGCAAAGGCAAGUCACCGACUAUCUUCAUGAGCAAAAGCAAGUCACCAUUGAUCUUCAUGAGCAAAUGCAAGUCACCAAUGAUCUUCAUGAGCAAAGUCAAGUCACCAAUCAUCUUCAUGAACAAAGUCAGUUGACCAAUGAUCUUCAUGAGCAAAGUCAGGUCACCAAUGAUCUUCAUGAGCAAAGUAAAGUCACCGUUGGUCUUCAAGAGCAGAGUCAAGUCACUGUUGAUCUCCCUGAAUCCAGUCAAAACACCACGGAUUUGGUGGUCUUCUGCGCUGCCCUGGUGGGCUUCUGUCUCGACCGCAUGGCUCCAGUUCCACCUGAUCCACCCGGGAUACUUGUCCUGUCGGCUCGACCCUGGGCCCCAGACUUUCUGUUCCCUCCCGGUCUUGUGUUUUGUUUCUUGUUUUUUUUUUUUUUUUUUUUUUUUUUUUUUGUGUUUUCUCUGUUUCCCUCUAUGGACCUGGCCAUCCGUCCCUCCCCCUGUUCCUCCGCCGGUCCACCUCCCUUCUGGUCUCCUUGUUUUUGUUUUUUGCACUUCCUGUCUCUGUUUCCCUCUAUUACUUGGCCCUCUGUCCCUCCCCCUGAUCCUCCGCCGGUCCACCUCCCUCCUGGUCUCCUUGUUUUUGUUUUUUGCACUUCCUGUCUCUGUUUCCCUCUAUUACCUCUCUCUCCAUCCCUCCCCCUGGUCCUCUGCUGGUCUACCUCCCUCCUGGUCUCUGUGUUCCUUGGCUUGUUCUUGCUUUCAGGUGGAGCAUCUGGUAGCUGCUCCGUACAGGAGGGGGUAAUGUCACUGUGUCUGGCCUGUGUUUCCCUGGGUGUCCACUAGUGGUCUCACUUCCCCAUAGGCACCUCACUGCAGACACUACAUUUCCCACAAAGCCUUGUCCCUUCAUCAUGGUAAUUGCACACCUGUUAAUUGCACUCAGGUGUCUUCACUUUCAUUGUCAUUACCCUGUCUAUUUAAACCGGUUUGUUUUCUCUCUGUGUCAUAGAGUCCUUAUUUUCCGUCACCUGGUUUCCUCGCGUUUUGAGUUUCUUGUUCCUGUUUGUUUGUUUCUUGACUGAUUUUUGGUUAUGACCCCCUUCUUGUUUUGAUUCUGAAUUUUGGAUUUCCCAAUAUACACACACUGCUCUUGGAUCUCUCGUCUCCUGUGUCCCC
rnacentral:lncRNA from 1 species